GAAUAUUGGACAAUGGGGGGAACCCUGCUCCAGCCAUGCCGAGUGUGUGAAGAAGGCCUUUAGGAUGUAAAACAAUAUAAGCGAGGAGGAGGAGCACUUGGUUAUUACCCAAGAUGCAUGGACGUUACUCGCCGAAUAAGCACCGGCUAACUCUGUGCCAGAAGCCGCGGUAAUACAGAGGGUGCAAGCGUUAAUCGGAUUUACUGGGCGUAAAGCGCGCGUAGGUGGCCAAUUAAGUCAAAUGUAAAAUCCCCGAGCUUACCUUGGGAAUGCCAUGCGAUACUGGUUGGCUAGGGUAUGGGAGGGAAUGGUAAAAUUCCAGGUUUAGCGGUAAAAUGCGUAGAGAUCUGAGGAAAUACCGAUGGCAAGGGCAGCCAUCUGGCCUAAACCUGACACUGAGUUGCAAAAGAAUGGGGAGCAACA
rnacentral:rRNA from 1 species